GACGAACGCUGGCGGCGUGCCUAAUACAUGCAAGUCGAGCGGACUGAAUGGGGGCUUGCUCUUGUUCGGUCAGCGGCGGACGGGUGAGUAACACGUGGGCAACCUGCCCGCAAGACCGGGAUAACUCCGGGAAACCGGAGCUAAUACCGGAUAACACCGAAGACCGCAUGGUCUUUGGUUGAAAGGCGGCGCAAGCUGCCACUUGCGGAUGGGCCCGCGGCGCAUUAGCUAGUUGGUGAGGUAACGGCUCACCAAGGCGACGAUGCGUAGCCGGCCUGAGAGGGUGACCGGCCACACUGGGACUGAGACACGGCCCAGACUCCUACGGGAGGCAGCAGUAGGGAAUCUUCCGCAAUGGGCGAAAGCCUGACGGAGCGACGCCGCGUGAGCGAAGAAGGCCUUCGGGUCGUAAAGCUCUGUUGUGAGGGACGAAGGAGCGCCGUUUGAAGAAGGCGGCGCGGUGACGGUACCUCACGAGGAAGCCCCGGCUAACUACGUG
rnacentral:rRNA from 1 species